GGGAUUGAGCGUCGCACAGAGUGACAGACAGCACCGAGACAGGGCUGUUAGCUUAUGUAGACUGAGAGCUGAGUGGCUGGGAAUUUUCUGAUCGCUCUAAUUCACUGCACCUAACUUGGCCGGCUCUCUCCUCGUCCCUGCUUUUAUCUAACACUGUGUUUCUGUAUUGAUUUUUUUUUUCUUUAUCUUCCAGCCUGGAUAAGAGGACAGAGAACUACGGGAGCCAGAGUGAAUAGAGAACUUUCCUGAAGAUUGCCGCUAUUCUCCGGCUUAUUGCCUCCUGUCCUUCAUGGUUUCACAUGACGUCCCAGGUGUCAGGAUCGCCUUCAAGCUGUAAAUGAGGAAGCUGAUGAUAGCGACGGACUGGGAUCAAAAAGGACGAGAUUGGCUGUGGCAGAUUCCCUUCACUUUGUGUGGGGUAGUGGACAAUGGUGGAAAUAUUUGCUGGAGUUCAGGGGGAAAGAGAGGAAACGUCUCCUUGCGGGAACUUGAGGAGUUGCUCAGAUAAUUUAGAUUUAGAGCAGCAUUGGAGAAACAGGAAGGCAGAUUAAAACAGCGCCGCAGCUGCAAAUGUCACAAGACGUGUUCAGGAGAAAGGCUGCAAUAACAGUUAAUUACAGCCGUUGAGUAUGUGACAAAAGAGGCUGCUGAAGGAAAGUCUGUAACUCCUGUUUGUUAAAAAAUCCACCAUCACCAUGUUUUAAAGUACAUUAAACAAAGGGGAGAUGACCCUGAAUGCACCAGCAGGACGCUCCUCAACACAAUGCUUUCGAAUAAGAAUACAGUGGAUCCCAGCGAAAGUAAGCAGCCUUUUCAGAGCCGACUAACAAAGAGCUGCAGGUUGUCCUUCAUUUGGCUUCUGGCAUUAACAGAAGCAGCUUCUCCGAUUAACUUAUGACAAAUGAGCAGGUUGAGAUUCAGUCUGGGAAUCACUGACGUCUCUAUGGUUCAGCGUUGAAGCGUUAACGUAAAAAGAAAUUUAAGCUCCCAGUAACAGCAGUUAAUGUAUUUAAGGAGCAAAAGAUUUAAUGUAAACGCUUACAUGCCUGUUUACUUUUAAAUCAGAGAAAAUAGUUAAACUACAAUUGUUAACUAAUUAAAAAAGUAAGAGGUAAACUGGUCCACCAAAAAGGAAUAAAACAAAUUUAAUAAUUAUUAAAUAGUAACCUUAUUUUUUCUCUUUGUUAAAAGAAAGAAGCAAAAACAACAACAAAAGAAGAAAUUGUACCAAACUAAACAAAACAUUAAAAGAUUUAGAUUUUCCUAAAAAGUCAUUUUCUUCCAUUACUGUCAUCAAGGCCGUAAAAACCUAGUUUGACUGUCGCAGUGACCUCAGUACUUGUUGUAUUUCUGCUCAGUAACAUCUGAAUUCUUCCUCCGACACAUAAUGAAGCAGCGAGAGGAGCCCGGGGGCAUCUUUGACACAUUAGCAACACAUGUGAGGACUUCCAGCCUCCUCCUGCAGCGUGCGCCUCAGUAGGAGACCGACACCGGGCACAAAAACCAUCAGGACCUCGUCCUCGUCCUCGUCACCGCAGCCGUGAGCACGACUCACCAGUGUGAGAAUGGUCUUAAAGCAGCGACCCGCGGGAGUGUGACUCAGACAGGACCCAUUCAGACCCACCGGCGCGUGAAGUUGCAGAUUCAUGUGAAGUUUGAAGGUGGCUCACAAACACCCUGAAAGCGAAUAAAGGUGUUGUCGGAGCCCAGUAAAAACAGCAGAGCUCCACAAACACAAGCCCAAGCAGCCGGGCCCGUUUUAUGUGAGCCUCGACUAAGAAUGGUCUCCAUGUGUUUAAACCCACUCAAACAGUGACUUCCUGUGAGUCACCGUCUGCAGCCUGGAGCACAUCACUGAUAUUUAUCAUGCGAUGGCCCGUUCCCAGGGUUGGAGCCGCUGCUGUCUCUCUCCGGCUCAGGCCUCUACUUUUACUGGAGCCCGUCGGAGGCCGAGGAGCUGGGAAAUAUCACCAUCCUGGAGCCCUGAACAGGAGUCAGAGGAGAGGGAGCGGCAGGAAAAGGUUCUCCUCAGCUGGACCUCAGCUGGACCUCAGCUGGACCUCAGCUGGACCUCAGCUGGACCUCAGCUGGACCUGUUCUACCUGCAGCCACGCAGCGGCAGCGCGUGCGUCAUCCACCAACGAGAGCAAUGAGGGGGGGUGAACGCGAUGCGCUGCAGACGGUGAAAACAGAGUCCACAGCGGUUCUACAGCGCGUCCUGGGCCGGGCCUCGCAUCCGGCCCGCUCCUCGCCAGCCGCGGAGAAACCAGCGGCUCCGAGCGCCACAGCUGCUGCCAAACAAAUGCAACGCAGCGUUUCCUGUGGUCACACAACGGAGGGAGCGCCGCAUCGGUGAAACCUCACAGCUGCUGAUGAAGGCUGUGACGUCAGGAUGAGGAUGAGGAGGAGGAUGAAGGCCUCAGACGGUUUCAACCUUUUGGUGAAGUGCUUGCGUCGGACAUGUGAAGUGUGAAAAGCCACAAAAGGACGAGUUUGCUCUGAGUUGUAGUAGAGUAGAAGUAUAAAGGGGCACAAUACUACAAUUCAGAAUUCAAUGUCUUCAUUUGAUUUCAGAAGGCGAUGGUUCAAUCAGAAUUCUGCUUCUUUUAUCUGGAAACAGCACCUUUUAUUUCUCCUCCCGGCUGAAGACCGCGUCCUGGGAAAGCUCCGGCUUAUUAUUGGAUGUCCACUCUAGAAGUAUUUCCAAGCAUCCAAUGUUGUGCUUUAAUAGAAAUGCGUGAAUGCUUCUCAGGGCCGCGGACAAAGCUGCGGCGGGGCCGUACAUCUGUGAGUUUAGAAACAAAGCUUUGUUUGUGAGCCUCCAUCACUUGUGCUCAUGAAAGCAGACACUUACUUGAAAAACUUUCUUUUCCUUUCAGGGGGAGGAGGGGGGAGAACACUCUAAACCUACAUCCUGGUAUAAAUUUGCAAAACGCAAUACAGGCCUGAUUGUGUGUGGAGCCGACGCAGGACGCAUACAAAACGAAUCCCUCCUGAACCGUCCCCUUCCCUCACGGCUCAGUGGCCGAUGUACAAUAAAUCAACAAAAGGGGGCUUUAACGGCAGCGACGGCCGCUCCAGCCUACUGUUAUUUUAUCUUUUUACAGUAUUUAAUUGGAAGUUUUCCCUGAAACAUUACACCGCGCUUUCAAAUGACUUUGCCCAAAUCUAAGAGGAGAUUGAUAAGAAUUUCUCUCCCUCCCUCCUCCGCCCAGUUUUUCCUCCUCCUCCUCCUCCUCCUGCGCUUUUCAGGGGAGAGCAAGUUUUUACCGAAGGGAGACUAAAGUUA